GCCUGCAGACUGAAGGGUCCCGGGUUUGAUUCUGGUCAAGGGCACAAACCUCAGUUGCAGACUAGAUCCCCAGCCACGUGUGGGAGGCAACCAAUCGAUGUGUCUCUCUCUCACAUCGAUGUUUCUCGGGGAAGGGAUCCACCCUUCUAUAUAAUAGAACAUAUCUGUAAUUCUUCACGAGUGUUAGUUGACGUUGAGCAAAAUGCUUCUUCAUAAUAUUGGUGACUACUACAGCACAAUACACAUUUCGGAAGCAUUGAAGAGCUGUGUGUUUUAUGAAACUAUGAAACAUAGUAUAGUGAUAUGAUUCAUGUAUUCAAAUCCCAACUUUAGCACUCAAUAACUAAGAACUUAAGUCAUUAAACUGCUCUGUUACUCAGUAUCUCAUCAGUAAAUGGGGACAAUAAUAAUUCCUACUUUGUGCAUGUGAUGUGUCAAUAGUGCAUGAGGAAAGGGGAACCUAGAGAUUGAAAGAGGCUUAAAACAUAUAUUGACCAAAUGCAACAUAUAUGGAUCAAGAGACAUAUCCGUGAAAUACAAUAUGUGGACAUUUGGGGGAAAUCCUGAUUUGAAAAAAGCAGCUGGAACAGAUAUUAUGAAGCAGUUGGUGAAAUUUCAAUCCUGACUGUGGUGAUAUCAAGGAAUUAUUGUUAUAUUUUAGAUGUGCUAAUGAAAUUGUUAUUACUUAAGAAUCUUUAUCUUUUAAAAAUGUAUACAGAAGUAUUGUCAUGAAAUGCUUCAUGACAAAUUUAUUGUCAUAAAUUUGCUUCAAAAUAAUAAAGUGAUGGCAUAGAUGAUGAAAGAUUUCCCAUUGUUUAUUACAACAUGGUUUAUUUUUUUGUUUUUUUUUUACUACUAUACUCUCUACUUUUGUAUGUGUCUGAAGUUGUACAAAAUAAUUUGUUUUUAAAAGUGCUAGAACAUAGUAAGGAUGUUGUAAAUCUUUACUAUUAUUAUAUGCUUUGUAUUCAUAAUAUUAUCUACUGUUCCUUUAUACCUUUCAGGUUACGUGUUUUUAUUUACAUUAUGUCUUCUGGUAUUGCCACUCAACUAGAAGGAAGAAACACAUUCUGAGUCCUGUGCCACGCUGUGUAGAGAGACCCUUGUGGGAGUUUCGGCUUUCCCUUUUGGCGUUUCAGAACGGAGAAGAGCCAUCUGCUGCUGGAAGAAACACAUCCUGGAGUCCUGUGCCACGCUGUGUAGAGAGACCCUUGUGGGAGUUUCGGCUUUCCCUUUUGGCGUUUCAGAACGGAGAAGAGCCAUCUGCU